rnacentral:rRNA from 1 species
AUUGAACGCUAGCGGGAUGCUUUACACAUGCAAGUCGAACGAGUGGCGGACGGGUGAGUACUAUAUCGGAACGUGACCAGGAGCGGGGGAUAAAUACUCGAAAGAGUGGCUAAUACCGCAUACUAUGGGAGCGGCCGAUAUCGGAUUAGCUAGUUGGUGGGGUAAAGGCUCACAAAGGCAACGAUCCGUAGCUGGUUUGAGAGGGCGACCAGCCACACUGGGACGGAGACACGGCCCAGACUCCUACGGGAGGCAGCAGUGGGGAAUUUUGGACAAUGGGGGAAACCCUGAUGCAGCAAUCCCGCGUGUAUGAGAAGGCCUUCGGGUUGUAAAGUACUUUUGGCAGAGAAGCGGUAUCUGCAGAAUAAGCACCGGCUAACUACGUGCCAGCCGCCGCGGUAAUAC